CAACGAGUAGCUUAAUUUAGAAUCCUA
rnacentral:tRNA from 1 species